rnacentral:lncRNA from 1 species
CCUGCCGCCCCUUCGGGGCUUUAUUCAACUCCGCUGGAGCGAGCGACGGUGGGCGGAGGUGACAGCCCCCGGCCGGCCGGGGGGACGCGCCGUGCCCCGGGCCCCCAGCGGCUCCUCGGGGGGCUGCCGGCGGCUCCCGGCGGGGGAGGAAGGGAAGGGGAAGGAGAGGGAAGGGGGGCAGCGGGCGGGCGGGCUGAGGGGCCGCCGGGGGGCGGGGGAAGGACGACGACGACGACGAGGAGGAGGAGGAGGAGGAAGGGGGGCGCCGGGCCGGGACGCCGCAGCCUCACAAGCCGCCCUUUGUCCUCCUGCGGGGCCCGGGCUCUGCCCCCCCGGCUCAGCCUCGCGUCCCCACGGCCGGGGGCUUGCGGGGAGCGGCGCCCCCCCUUGCUCCCCUCCCAACCCCGCUACGGCUGCGUCUGCGGGCGCGUUUAUUUUAUUUUCAUUAUUUAUUUAUUUGAUACCCCCCCACACACUACCACCACCACCACCACCACCCCCCCCUCCUUCUCCCGCCCCGGGCGGCCGGGGGCCGCUCCACGUGAUGGCCGGCGCCGCAUUCCUGCACAGCCCCAACUCCGGCCCCGCACCGGGAACUUCGGCCCGCCCCGCCCCCACCCGCUCCCGGGACGGCAAAGGGAUGGGGGGGGGGGGGACACCCCGAAACUUUCCGCUUUUUUAACAAAAAAAAUAAUAAUGAUGAUAAUAAUGAUAACAAGCGGGCGGCGCCGCGCUGCUGCUGCCCGCGCCCGCCUGAGCGGGGCUGGCUGCGGGGCGGGCCGGUGCCCCCGGGCCGUGCCGUGCCCUACCGGGCCAUACAGAGCCCUACCGGGCCAUACAGAGCCAUACGGGGCCCGGCAGCCCGCCCCGGGGCUGUCACCGCGGCAACUUUCGCACCGGGCUCCGCGUGCGGUUGAGUUUGGCUCGCAGCGGGCUGGGGCAUCCCUCCCCCCGCCCCGCACACGCACUCCUCCCUUCCCCGAAAUUUUAGGAUUUUUUUUUUUUUUUUUUGGGGGGCGGGGGGGCCCCCUCCCCGUCCCCCCCCCCCCCCCCCUCCCCCUCCCUCCCCCGCACACCCACGCCGGUCUCGGGCUGCCCACGGCGGCGUUCAACGGGAGAGAGGGCCGGGGAAAGAGAGGGGGGGGGGUGUUGGGGGGGGAAAGGGGGGGAAGGAAGGGAGGG